ACGUUCAACGAGCUCCUUGACCGAGAGGCCCGGGUAAUCUUUGAAACCGUAUCGUGAUGGGGAUAGAACAUUGCAAUUAUUGUUCUUCAACGAGGAAUGCCUAGUAAGCGCGAGUCAUCAUCUCGCGUUGAUUACGUCCCUGCCCUUUGUACACACCGCCCGUCGCUCCUACCGAUUGAACGUGCUGGUGAAGCGUUAGGACUGGAACUUCGGGCCGGUUUCCCUGCCCAUCGUUUCGGGAAUUUCGUUGAACCCUCCCGUUUAGAGGAAGGAGAAGUCGUAACAAGGUCUCCGUAGGUGAACCUGCGGAGGGAUCAUUG
rnacentral:rRNA from 1 species